CUGGUGCCAUGCUUCUUGUACAGCCUACAGAACUGACACAAUUGAAAACACUGGUUAUAUUACAAAAGCUUUGACUGGUAAUUUUGUGUCAUAUUUUCAAAUGUGACCAGGCUGCUUUGAGGAAUUGCAGUUUACUUUAAAGCCAACAGACUUGGAAAAAGACUGGCCGGGUACCAUAUCUACACUGUUCCCUUACAGGGUUCCUGACCUUGUGAAAAGAAAACUGAGUAAUGACCUACAGACAUGGUUAAUCAGUUAUACCCUUCUCCUGACAUACAGCUAAUCACCAUAGACUAAUGCAGACCUCCUUAUGAAACAGGCGUUUCUACCUCCAAGGGAAAAAGAUAACAAAUCUUUGGCUGACCAACUGAUGUUUAUCAGCAAUGCUUCCUCACAUCAAAUCUUUAUCAAAAUGAAGAAAUGUGAAAUGUGAUAUACAAAACAGUAUCACUUGGUUCAGAGCUCUAAAAUGGAGUCAAGAAGCCACUCUAUUACUACCUACACAACAUGAAACCCUGCAGGAAAAAAAAAAAGGAACAGGAACUUGCCUUGAACCUUUGAACUGGGCUAAACUACAAUGACCACAUCUUAGAAAGCAGCUGAAUUUCACCAGCACUGCAACUCCUGCAUAGCAACAACCAAUGUACCAUGGACUUAUGUACUAAGCCAGCCACCUCCACCAAUGAUAAUUCUUUCAAAACAACUUGUGCAAUCACUCUCGGCAUCCUUUGAAAAAUUCCUACUCUCCUUCCUGUCUUUGGAAAACAAUUUGGCUCUUAGCCAAAUCCGUGUCUCCCAAAUUGCAACUUUUAAGGCCUCAAAUGCCUAGUCUUACUGCAUUGCACUCUGGUGUUUUGCCCCUUCUUACUUGACAUAUUAUACUUACAUCUCCAUUUCUAGUUGUGUUGAUUUUUUUAUUUUUUUAUUUUUAUUUUUAUUUUUGGAUAGUGUCUCACUCUGUCACCCA
rnacentral:lncRNA from 1 species